AAUCAACGCUGGCGGCGUGCCUAACACAUGCAAGUUGAGCGCUUGAGGGGGGCAACCCCCAAGAGAGCAGCGAACGGGUGAGUAACGCGUGGGUGAUCUUCCUUCGAGUGGGGAACAACAUCGGGAAACUGGUGCUAAUUCCGCAUAAUAUCCCGGGGCUACGAGCCUCAGGAUCAAAGCCGGGGACCGCAAGGCCUGGCGCUUGAAGAUGAGCCCGCGUCCGAUUAGCUAGUUGGCGGGGUAAUGGCCCACCAAGGCUUCGAUCGGUAGCCGGCCUGAGAGGGCGGACGGCCACACUGGAACUGAGACACGGUCCAGACUCCUACGGGAGGCAGCAGUGGGGAAUUUUUCGCAAUGGGCGCAAGCCUGACGAAGCAACGCCGCGUGGAGGAUGAAGGUCUUCGGAUUGUAAACUACCUGUCGACCGGGACGAAUGCACUCGACCUAAUACGUCGGAAU
rnacentral:rRNA from 1 species